UUUCCAUGAUCCUGAAGGGUGAGGGGAGCAUCGGAGUGGACAUGUUUCACGCCGGCGUUAACGACACAAUGCUGCGGCAGACAGAGACGCUGAAGAGGGACUUCAGGAGCCUGAUCAAGACAGUGCGCAGCAUAUCGCCUGCAUGAUGAUCAUCGUGUCAGGACCACUUCCCACGUAUAGAUGAGGACAUGAAAGGCUUUUUAGAUCUCCUGUUGGACAACAUCUCCAGGACACUUCGCUCCAUGUGACUAGGCAGUUUGUGAAGACAGAUAAUCAAGAGAAGUCAGUUCCAGAUCCACCCUCCACACCAGACUUCUCUCUCACGAGGAUUGCUGUCUACUAACAUACUGUGUUCUCUUCAGACUUCGGGGAAUGCAGAUAUUACUCGGGGACACGAACACAUGAAUAUUGCAAGAAUAGAGAAAGUAAGAUAUAUUAUAUAUAUAUUUAGAUAUAUUUUUGUGGCAGUGUGAACUGGCCAUAAUGCUGUAUGAUAGGUGUGAGAUUCAUUAAACUUGAUUUGGUAUAAUACAUCUGUUCAUAAGCUAUUGCAUAUUAUUUUCAAUGAAUUAUUUGUAGUGGUUUGGUUAAGGGUGUGAUUAGCUGAUGUAUUAUUGUGGGAGCUUGUGAUUAGUUGAUAAAUGUGUUUAUUGUUAAUGACAAUAUUUAAAUGCAAUGUGCUGAGUGCUUACUAAGACUUGCAUGUUUGUGCAUAAUGUUUUGACCCCGGAUGCUUACAGAAGGGUAUAGAUAUUUAAAUAUAUGGAAAUGUAUUUAUUAUUAAUAUAUCUCAAUCUAUGUGCUUCUGUUUGGGCUGAAUGCUUUCAUUCAUAUGUCGCUGUAUAUCCUGUUUUUAUUAAUAAUCUGGGUGUAUUACUGUUCAUAUUUGCUUGUUAAUAAAUUAACUGAAUUC